rnacentral:rRNA from 1 species
CCUACGGGAGGCAGCAGUGGGGAAUUUUCCGCAAUGGGCGCAAGCCUGACGGAGCAAGACCGCGUGAGGGAGGAAGGCUCUUGGGUUGUAAACCUCUUUUAUCAGGGAAGAAGAUCUGACGGUACCUGAUGAAUCAGCAUCGGCUAACUCCGUGCCAGCAGCCGCGGUAAUACGGAGGAUGCAAGCGUUAUCCGGAUUUAUUGGGCGUAAAGCGUCCGCAGGUGGUUAUUCAAGUCUGCUGUUAAAGCGCGAGGCUUAACUUCGUACAGGCAGUGGAAACUGGAUGACUGGAGUAUGGUAGGGGUAGCGGGAAUUCCCAGUGUAGCGGUGAAAUGCGUAGAUAUUGGGAAGAACACCAGCGGCGAAAGCGCGCUACUGGGCCAUUACUGACACUCAUGGACGAAAGCUAGGGGAGCGAAAGGGAUUAGAUACCCCUGUAGUCCUAGCUGUAAACGAUGGGUACUAGGUGUUGACCGUAUCGACCCGGUCAGUGCGUAGCUACGACGUACGUACCCGUCCGUCGGAGUAGUGCGACGCGAGUAGUAGAAACGUUAAAGUAGUAAGUUAGUACGGUUCGUUGUAGACGUUGCGACGGACGACGACGAGGGAGGUUAGG